AAAAAUGAUUCUAUUAAGGUGGCAACACGUUUAAUCACAGGAAAGAAUAUCAGGUGGUAGAUAUCAAGAUGCCUUCCGUUUCGAUUUGUUAUGCGUAAAACGUAAAUGCCUUGUUAAAAUCACGAAAGAAUAACGUGAGAGAACUCUCUGAUACACGGUUUGAACGUGAUAAAGGUCUAAAACGUACUAUGUAAGAUUAACUACGAAGUAUUAAAUUGAUUACAUUUGAAUAACCUUGAAGUUUCAACAAGACGAAUGUACGUAUGUACAUACGUAAGGUUCAUACGUCGAGCGGGAGGAGUUUACAGAUAAAUCCUUGAAGCUAAUUGGUCGUCCUUGAAGAGAAAAGAUCAUAACAAUGUUGCCUACGAAGGGGAAGAGUAGUCACGUGAUAAUAACAUCUAUAUUUCUACCGCUUUUAUCUAUUUAUUUCAAUGAAUAUAUUAGGAAAAUUGAAUGAAGAAACAGUUCAAACACAAAGACUCCUUAUUUUCUCUUUCUCUUUCUUUUCAUUUCUUUCUUAUUUUUAUUCCAUUUCAUUCCUUUUGUUUUCUUUUUCUUCGUUUUCUUUACGAAGCAAGUGAAAUCUAUGGGAAUACUUUGUGAUUUUCAGAGGACGAUCGAGGAAAGAAAUUUUUUUCAAGGAAUCGAGUGAAAGCUGAAUAAACUCGAAAGUGUCGAAAACCGUAACGAAAUAUUUUUUUUCCUUUUUUUAUCUCUUUUCUCGAUCGAUAAAUGAAUCCGAUCUGUCCUCGAUUUUAUCUUUCAACGAUUCCCUUCGAUUCUUCUUUUUUUAACUUUACUUAAUUGGAAUCCUUCGAACGUAUGGCGAGUAAUUCGAGACGGUCGAUCGGUUUCUUUUAAAUUUAGGAUCAUUAUCGAAUCGAUCAAUCGAUUAUUACUUCGAUUAUUUCGAAAUUCCCUUCGGGUAUAAUUCUUAUGAGAUAAUCCAAGAACGUUCGAGUUGCGAUUCAACUUUGAUCUCCCUUUCUCUCUCUCUCUCUCUCUCUCUCUCUCUGCCGUUUAUUAGAAUGUACAAUGAAUAACAAAUUAAUAGAUACUAAAAGAGAAGAAACAGGAGAAGAUGGCAAACAGUGUGGCAAUGAUGAGGAUAAUCCGGCGAUUCGUUGGACCACGUUAUUACAAUGAAACGAAGGUACAUGUUUUAACGCUCGUUUGGCUUUACGAGGAAGUGAGCUGUGUGAAUAUGUUGCAUCUUGUUAUUUAUUAGCGAUAUCCACCUUGGUAAUGUCGGCACUUACGAAGCGAGAAAACUAGGUAGGAGCAUCUGAGAGUGACUCAGCCUCGCCGACUCGAGUGGGGUUUCAUAAAAAACGAGUCUCUCGAACCUGGCGCGAAAUUCAGGCGCAUAAGGUUGAUGAGAAUGAAAGGAAAUUUUUGAUGAUAGUUCUUUUUCUCUCUUUUUUUUUUUUUUUCUUUUUUUUUCCCCCUUUAAAUCGACUCGAGUUUAAUUUCUCUUCGCACGAGCGUACGAAGCGAAAGGUCGGGGAGAUCUUGAAAAAUCGAUGGAAGGUCGGUGAAAGGACAAAGACGAAAAAGGGAGAUGUUUCAGGAGAACAUCGCAUUAUCUCGAGGUGACAAGGAAAGAAAAAAGAGGGUACGGGGAGUAGGGAGGGGGGAAAGAAAAGGGAAGAAAAGAAUCGUGGAGGUAGAUCUCGCUGAACGGAGACGGGUCGAUUUAAACAAAUUCGCACCUCCUUAACGCCGACCGAAUUUACGUAGCAAGUUUAAAACCUUCCUGGGCCGGGCACGACUUUUACGUCGUUCUGCGUGACGUUAACGAUUCGUAAAUUAAAAGGGCCGCGUUUUGUUCGGGAGGCGGUGUGGGCGUUUGAAAAAGAAUUAUAAAACGAUCGUUCAGCUUCCCCGGGAGAAACGAAAUGCCUUCUUUGCCGCCUUCAACAAUGUUCCUUCGUGGAAAAAGAAAAUGUUUUCGUUUGAAGAAAAAGAAACGAUAAAAAGAUAGGAAGAAAGAAAGAAAGAGGGGAAAAAAAAGGAAAUACAUUUUCAUCGUUGUACAUUUAUUGCGUUUCUAUUCGUAAAGAGAACACAGCUACUUUGUCAACCUUUGAAAUAUCGUUUCUUCCUCGCAACAGGACGUACCUCGUGGCGUUACGUAUGUCUUAUGUAUAUGUAUACGUCGAUAACACGUUUCUUAGAAAGUACUUUGCAAUUCCGUCGUUACGUCGGUGAAUUAUAGACGCUAGAACUCCCGCAUGAAAUUGAAACUGAAACUGUUCUCUCGAGCCCCCAUUUUAUACUUGUUUAUAUUUUAUUAUACGAGGAUGUGCAUGAUUUCACGGUUUUAUUCGAGAUAAUUUUUUUUUUUCUCUUAACACCACCAACUUCUCCAUAUACACGCCUUCCAAUUCAUCUCUAGUCGUCAAAAAGUAAUUGAAAACGAAGCCGUUAAGAUUUGACGAUAAUGAGUCCGUUAAUACGAUCAGAGAAACAUUUUAACAAAAGAUUAUUUUUAAAUAUUCAUUAUUACACAGAUAUAUAUAUAUAUAUAUAUAAAUAAAUAAAUAAAUAAAUAAAUAAUAAUUAUUUAAGUGAAUUAUUCACUUGUGAUUAGAUUUAUUAACUUCCGAUAGUUAAAUUAUUAAGGGCAUCGAGUUGGACGUAGCAGGAAGGGAACCGUUAUUAUAUCGCAAUGAUAAUCAAUAAGAAAAGAGAAUUGUCUUUUAUUUAUUAUUAUUAUCAUUGUUGCUCUUGUUAUUUUUUUCUCAUUCCUUUUUUACUUUUCUUUUUUUUGCAAUGUCUUUUUGUAAAACAAAGCAAAACAAAAGAGAAAGAAAGAAAGAAAGGAAGGAAGAAAGAAAGAAAGAGCGUACAAGAGAGAUAAAGAAGACAGAGACAGCUCAUGUAUUCAGUAACGAGAACACAGCGAGAUCGAGCUAUAUAUUAUCGAAGAUAAAAUCUUAUUACUCAUUGCAGGAGUGCUGUUACCGAUACGCUGACAAUUUUGUAGUCCAUUACCGUAGUCGAGGCACGAGUGUAUUGAUACCGUGCGUUAAGAAAAAAAGCAUUUCCUUCGAUUAUUAACGACCGUAUAGCAGUUGUCCAUACCCGUGACACGCCUCUGUUAUGCGAACGAUCGUUAAUCGAUCAUACUCUUUAUAUUGCAAGAAAAUCAUGGCGGCAAUCCUCUCUCGUUUCGGACGAAGAUUAGUUUUCGUGUUAUAGGGGAGGCAUGCAACUAAGAGAAAACAAAGCUUUUGCUUUAGACGUUAAAACGUUAGCUACGUGCAGAUUCGCAGCCGUUGCGCAAUAACUAAGGCGUGUCAGGUCUUUAAAUAAAACGCAUACAGGCCGUAGCCUGUCACCCGUCCUCUCGAAAUACAUCGCUUGGAUCAAAGACACGUUUAAACGGAGUCUGGCCUUAAAGUACACGAAUUGACGAGACUUUUGGCUCCUUCCUGUAUCUUCGACUUCCGCGAGAAAACUGAAAAGGGAAGAAAGAAAGAAAAAAAGAAAGAAAAAGAAAUAACGAGGGCAAAUCUCAUCUCGCGAAAGUAGUUCUAAAAAUAUCGAAGCCUUUGCAUAGCUUCCGUUUGCUCGAACGAACGAACGAACGAACGAACGAACGAACGAACGAACGAACGAACGAACGAACUUUCUUCUUCUUGAUGAAGAUGAUACAAUGCUUGUUGAGCUCGCAUCGAAAAGAUGCCAAUUAUCAGAGAUACGUAUAAUUUUUUUCUUUUUCUUCUUCUUUUUUCUCUUUUUUUUCUUCCCCUCAAUAAACUCCGUUGGUUGGAUCACGGCGAUCAAAUGGAAAUUGGAAUUUAAAGGCGGAUAUGAAUGUCUUUUGAAAAAGGAAAUCUUGAGAAAGCCGUAAAACGAAUCGUAUUAACAAGUCGAAUCGAUCUUUGUGCUUGUCAACCGGAUCCUCUCCGUUAGUGUGACAAAAAUUUAUUGCGAAUAACGAUUUCUCGCGGUUGGCACGUAGAGAACUAUAAACGUCGGCUCGUUGCAGGAAGAAGAAAGAGAGAAAGAUACGAAGAAUAAGGAGAAAGGAAGGAAAGAGUAAGGAGAGGUAGAUGGAGAAGUAGAAGGAGAAGUAGAAGAAGAAGGAAAGGAAGAAAGAAAUGAUAUUCGACGUGCAUACGCGACCCCAGUGCGAAUAUAAAAUAAAUUAAUGUCCCUACGACGUUUUACGGGCGAGAUAUAAUCGAGCGAUACUUAGUAUCCAACAGCGCGCGACUUCGGCUAAAUGUCUUUCAGAACCGUAAACGUUACGCCACGACGUAGCAAAGUUCCAAUGUAAAUUUUGAAGAACGUUGGCGUUCCCGAUGUAAGUCAGUCACUGCACUCGCCCGUUUACUACUCGCUCCCUUUCUACUACUUCCGAUCGUUUUCCUCUUUUGAAGAACGUCCGUUUCACUUCACUCCCGAAAGAUCGAUAGAUCACGAGAGAAUAAACCGCAAGCGAAAGAAUACUUUUCGCUGAAUGAAUUCUAAGAUAAAUUAACACUCCGUUUGUCUUUCUUUACGCGUGAAGAGAGGAAAAAAAAAAAAGAAGAAAGGACGGAGUUGCGAGCAAAUCGAAUGGUAAUUAUCUCUUUUAUUUCUUUCUUAUUAACUUUUUGUUCUACCUUUUUCCACCCUCCGAAAACACGAGGAUUGAAAAAUAAAAACGAAAUUCACUCGCGCCGUUUCAGUUGAUAGAAAUUCCUAUCACGUCAGUGUCAUUCACAGUCACCGCGAAGAUAUAGAUCGAACAUAUCACUUACUAAUUCAACUAGCUAAGUAACAUAUUAAUUAGUUACAGGUAGAGGACACUUCUUCUUCACUGGCAUCCGACUGGCAUGUUGGCUCGAAUAUUGGUCCUUCGGUCAUCUGAAACGAAAAAAAUAAAAAAAAAAUGAUAUAUAGAUCUAAGUGGAGACCGAGCUUUGUCGCAAGUCCCUCAUAAAGAAAUAACAACUGGUAGUAUACCACUAAGAAGAACGCGACUAGUAAAUGAAAUAACUGCAACUGACUAAUAACCCUUUUGCCCUGCCUUUCUCUCUCUCUCUCUCUCUCUCUCUCUAUCUAUCUAUCUAUCUAUCUGUCUAUCUCUUUCUCGUUCUCUCUAUACCGUACUAAUGCCACUGGAAAACGUUAUUCAUUUGGUAAAACCAAAUUAAGAAGAAGGUAACCGCAAAUUAAGCCACGAUAUCCAUCGAGGAAGGACACCGUUCGUGUCAAUGCCCGACCACGUAUCUCUCUUCUCUUUCCUUUC